GCCUUCGUCGUGUAAUGGCCAGCACACACGGCGGGUAUUCGAGAGGUCCGAGGUUCGAGUCCCGGCGAGAGCA
rnacentral:tRNA from 1 species